GUGUCAGCCGCCGCGGUAAUACAGAGGUCCCGAGCGUUGUUCGGAUUCAUUGGGCGUAAAGGGUGCGUAGGAGGCGCGGUAAGUCGGGUGUGAAAUCUCGGAGCUUAACUCCGAAACUGCAUUCGAUACUGCCGUGCUUGAGGAAUAGAGAGGAGACUGGAAUUUACGGUGUAGCGGUGAAAUGCGUAGAUAUCGUAAGGAAGACCAGUGGCGAAGGCGGGUCUCUGGACAGUUCCUGACGCUGAGGCACGAAGGCCAGGGGAGCAAACGGGAUUAGAAACCCCUGUAGUCC
rnacentral:rRNA from 1 species